rnacentral:rRNA from 1 species
UACGAAGGGUGCAAGCGUUACUCGGAAUUACUGGGCGUAAAGCGUGCGUAGGUGGUUUGUUAAGUCUGAUGUGAAAGCCCUGGGCUCAACCUGGGAAUUGCAUUGGAUACUGGCAGGCUAGAGUGCGGUAGAGGGUAGUGGAAUUCCCGGUGUAGCAGUGAAAUGCGUAGAGAUCGGGAGGAACACCAGUGGCGAAGGCGGCUCACUGGCCCGGUAUUGACGCUGACGGCGCGAAAGCCAGGGGAGCAAACGGG